AUACUGCUUUGGCAAUACAUAUAUCAAAAUUGGAACAAUACAGAGAAGAUUAGCAUGGAUCUUGUGCAAAUUCGUGUAACAUUCCAUAUUUUU
rnacentral:snRNA from 1 species